AUAUAAGACGCGCAAUCGUCUGCACACUCGCAAACUUGCGCAAAAAUCGAAUUUUUUGACAAUUUCCCGUGAAGAAAUUGAAAUUAGUGCUGUUUAGAUGGUAUUGGCAAACUGUCAACCCCUCCCCCCUCCCCCCUCCGGCAGAGAUUCUGGGUGCGCUACUGGUGCACGUGUUUGCGUAUGUGGGUGUCUGCGUGCAAGCACGUGCUUGUUUGUGUUUAUAAGUGUGGGUGUGCGCGCUUGUGUGUCUGCGUGUUAGUGAGUGCGUAUAUGCGUGCGAGUGCGCUUUGUGUGUGCGCGUGUGUAUUGCAUACGGUCGGUAGUUUUACACGCAAUAAACCUCAUCAAUAUUGGUGCAGCGGCUGUCCCAUGCCCUGAAAACCAAGUUUGGUUUCGAGCCAUCCCGGAAGACUGCAAUAGGAGGCGCCGUUUCUCGGGAGGACCAGUGGGAAAGCGUCAGGUGUCAUCGAGGUGACAGCAGCAGUCUCACAAUGCCCAGCCUUUGCGCUCUCCAUCAGAAAGCCAUCAGGGGCAAACCACUUAUGUUUGCCUUCAGACAAGUGGUUGAUGUCAUGUUCAACGCUGUUGUGAAGACAACAUUGAAGCAAGAUUCCAGCAUAGCCAUGCGCUGCACACUCAGACAAUGGAGUCCCUGUUCCUCGUGGUUAACCUUGAAUAGUAUUCUCGCUUUUAUGAAAGCUAAAGGUGAUUUGCUGCAUAAAUUAACAUGUUUACAGCUCAAACGUACACACAUUCUUUCUAAUUUUGAAACAACGAAUAUACCCUGUUAAAUAUUAUUCUACUGUUUGAUGCAAUCAUUUCUUGCUGGAGAAUAUUAAGUGUGAUGUUGAACUUGUACUUAUUGAUGACUGGCUAUUGCAUGACUGCCUGUGUUUAAAAAAUGUGAACUCACACAUUUGAAGCUUCAUUCAGUAACCAGAGUAUUGUAUGGCUGAUUUAAUAAACAUUAUUUGCUCAUUUAUGUACUCAGAUGCUACAAGCCAUAAUCUUGCAUUACCGCACCGAGUACAAAUAAUUUAAAAAUUGGCAAUGUAUUUUAACUCGCUUCAUCCACCUGUUGUAGCCAGCAGAGUACAUUAAUGAACAGUGGCUUGUUUUUAUAGGGUCCCCAUUGAUACUUCUCUUUCCACCUAAACAGUAGUAAAUGUGGAAUAUUUCGGCUUUUGCUUUUGCAGUAGAAAACGAGCGCAUUUUCAAGCGACAGAUUUUAUAACAGACCAUGCAGUGCCUUCAAAUUACAAACAUUUAAGGAAACUAGAAUUGUUAUUGAAAAAUCUGCUACACACCACUUUUAGCCCAGAGAAGUCUCCCUAUUCGCAUAAGAAAAAAAAUUAGGUGCAAAAAAAAAUUCAGAAGUUCAUAACAAUAAUCGCUCAAACCUUAUUUAAAGCAAGUUCAUGUGUGGAAAAUAUUGUUUCAGUCUAUCAAAAAUAUUGGCGAGUCAAGCUUUACAUUGAAUUUCCAAAUGAACUUUUCAGAAUGCUUUGCCAUGACAUUGGUGUACAAAAUAACAGGUGUGUUUCUUGUCAUGUGCUUGCUCUACAUUUCAUGUACUUCCCUAAUUGACCUUUGCCAUAUACCAUUUUUUUCAAGGCCAUCGAAACUUGAAUUUGUACUUGCAAUUUAAUGCUAAAAAUGUAUUCCUUUAAGUGGCACAAUACACUUCAAGUCAAACUCGGGCUCUUUCAGUGUUAACAUAUAGUUUCUCGUUAUAUAAGGACAGAUUUGAUGAGUUCUUGUAGUUGAAAAUCAUAAUUUUGUAGGAAAUGUACAUUUUGCACUUACAAAUGUGUUUGGUGAUUAUUGCACACAUUUAGGUUAUUGUUAUUUAUGUAUAUCGUGUACUCUGUAUUCUAGCAUGGAAUAAAUAUAUUGAUAUUUCCUUGAAAAUGCAGUAUCAUAUGUCUUGCCGGUAUGUAUUACAUAUUAUACGGAUCUAGAAAUCGUAAUAACCAUUGCUAUAGACAUAAACGCUCAGAAGUAUAGAAUUUACUAGGUUGCAUUUGUGCAAUGAAGACAGGUUUGACCCUGAAUUACAAAUAUUUAUUGUGAUCCACACGUAUAAAUGUUAUGUAUGCCUAUCGAAGCUUCAAGUUCGGCUAUCAGAUGCCGUGUUUGGUAGCUGAACUUGAACACACACGAGGGUUACGCAUGGAUCACUCUAAAUAGCCGUAAUUCAUAGCAUCUACAGCUGAUCCAACCUUCCAUGCAAUGUAGAAAUAAAAGGGUGUACACCCUUCCAACACCCAUGAAUAUGGGUGUUAACGUGGAAUAGCACCCUUACACCCUAAGUUUAUUUUGACUGAACACCCUUUCUUUAGGGUGCUAUAAUCGCACCCCAACUGUAGGGUGUAGGUAACAGCACCCUUAUGGUGUCCAUCUGGCGACAAACUGAUUUACACCCUUAAGGGUGUUAAAAUGUUCAGACGCCAACGCCGGAUUUUUCUCCUGAUGAGCCAUAUAAUGCUUUCGCAUUAAAAAUUUGUGCAUGUCCACUUACUCGACUCAGAGGAUUGCCACUUCUACAAAUAAAUACAACUGGGACUUUUUUCUUUUCUCAAAAAGAGAUUGCUCGUGCUCAUAUGGUAAUGUUUACUCCAGCCGACACCGCCUGGGAUAUUGCAAGGCUUCCUGCGUAUAAUAUUGCACCAUA